rnacentral:lncRNA from 1 species
CCCUUUUUAAAUUAAUUUAUCAGAUUUUCCGUGAUGGAAGACAACACAAGCAGCAUCCUGUGGCUGCAGCACAGCACACUUCUGCCUGUUUCCAGGCUAAUAUCACUACACCUCCAUCAUCCGUGCAGCACAAAAACAGGACCAGAUGCACAAAAAAAGGACCAGAGCCCUACAUGGGGAUGGGCUGAGGAAACAGCCUACCCAUCCACAAACACAGCCAUCUCUUCCUGAAGAUGUGGCCCUAGGACAAGAUGUAACCAGGCCAAAAACCCACUUGGGCAAGAUUCAAACAAACAUCCAGGCCAGCAGCUUCAAGGGCUCUCAUUCAGAAGCAAUCAGUCAGAAAUCUCUUGGUGGCACCGACAUCAAAGCCAGUCACCUGCUGAACCCUGGGGACCACCACACACCCUUCAGGUACCAUCAGUUACAUCCCUUCUGGUGUGAUGCAGCACUGGCCCUCACACCAGGGAGCUGUGGCCAUGUGGAAGCCAUGACUGCUCAGAUGAAGGCCUCUGAUAAUUAUCCACCCUCCCACUUCCCUGCUGCAUGGACCAGAUAGCUGCAAGCCAAGGCCAUUACUCAGCGUAUCAUCAGGUUUUCCCCUCAAACCCACUGAAGACCAAGAACCCCAGUUCACACAAUGCUUUUGGCAUCAGUGGACUCCUCCUUGCCACACAUCGAACAACUCUGCAGCAGCAUGGCAGCUCUGCAUCCUGACACAAUCAAGUGUGAAGGUGUAGGGACAUCAAGAAAAGCAAGCUGCAUGUUCCUUCCCCUUGGCUCGCCUCUCCUAGCACUGCGAGACACAGAAGUUGAAAGUCAAGCUUUUGAGUUACCAGCAAUUUCCACUUUGGUGCAUUAUUGCCUUUGCUGCAGUGCUUUUAUAAGCCUGUUUAUAAGACAAUAGACAAUGGGAGAAGUUGCUGGGGUUCCCAGUGGACAUAUGUUGACAAUAAACCCCUGUAACAGAGGUCA